AAUCAACGCUGGCGGCGUGCCUAACACAUGCAAGUCGAACGAGAAAGUGGAGCAAUCCAUGAGUACAGUGGCGUACGGGUGAGUAACACGUGACUACCUACCCUCGAGUGGGGAAUAACCUCGGGAAACCGGGGCUAAUACCGCAUAACAUCUACGGAUCAAAUGCGAAAGCAGCUUGAGGAGGGGGUCGCGGCCGAUUAGCUAGUUGGUGAGGUAAUGGCUCACCAAGGCAAUGAUCGGUAGCCGGCCUGAGAGGGCGCACGGCCACACUGGAACUGAAACACGGUCCAGACUCCUACGGGAGGCAGCAGGUGGGGAAUUUUGCGCAAUGGGGGAAACCCUGACGCAGCAACGCCGCGUGGAGGAUGAAGCCCCUUGGGUGUAAACUCCUUUCGAAUCGGGACGAUUAUGACGGUACCGGAAGAAGAAGCACCGGCUAACUCUGUGCCAG
rnacentral:rRNA from 1 species